rnacentral:lncRNA from 1 species
AUUCCUCCUUCGGGAGCUGGGGUGGGUUGAGGGAAUGACAAAGAUCCCAAUAACCUUGCAUUUCUCCAGCGAGAAAGAAGAAAGAAAUUCCGUGGAUAGGGAGCCCGCCAGGUUUCCUGCAGAAAAUCAUGGGAAGCUUUUGAGCAGGGGAGUCAGAAGAUGAGCGGUUCUCACAGUAGACGAGGAGCCUGUUUUUCAGCUAGCUGCGGCAAGGGGGCUGGAAAUUUCUCCCUUCAGAGUGGACCUGGAAGGCUUGGAAGCAUCUGGAGAAGGGCGUGGCC